rnacentral:misc_RNA from 1 species
GUUUUUUAGUAUCUAUCAGUCACAUUUGAUUCAAUCUGGAAAUGGAAUUCUUAAAUGGUAUAUAAAAGGAAUCAUUAUAACUUGAACUCAUGUGAAAAUUUAUGUACUUCAAGUAUAGCAUGUAAGAUUGCGGUGGAAAUUAUCUAAUUAUCUAUGUUUAUCUAUCUAUCUAUAUCUAUAUAAACAUAAUGAAGCUGGUCUCAAAGUAUGCUUACAAGUGGCACUCUUUUAGACUUUUUCUUUUAUUUAUCCAUUUUACCCCUAUACUAUUAUAAUUUUACAAUAUCGAUUGAUAAUAUGUAGUGACAUGUAAAUAUUAAUUGAACUAAGAUAUUUAAUAAAAAAAUUAUGAUAGUAGUUAUAAUUUAAUUAAUACAAACUAUAAACUAUAUAAACUAAAGCA